rnacentral:lncRNA from 1 species
CUCCCACAACUGGAGGUCUCAGUAGAAUUCUGAGGUGAGCGUGAGGACCAGACAUUUUGAGGUGUGAUAAAGUGGUCGUGAAGAGAGCCUACCUCCUUACUGCUCACGUCCCCAAAAACAUUUUGUGUGGUUUCCUUCAAGGAAAGGCUUUGGAGCUGGAUCUGCCUGCCCACUCUUGGCCCAGCCAUCUGCUGCUGGCCUCAGAGCUUGGACCGAGCCCUGCAGCCCUCAUUGCUACAAGUCCUCACAGGCAGAAGGAAUCCUGAUCAAGGAACUGCCUGACCCCUGAGGCCAGCGACCCUCAGUUCAAACCACCCAC